CAUUACUCAUUUCACAUUUGUUACUUGUACGGUGUGGAUUGUGGACUAUGGCGUGUGCCCACUGCCCAGGAGUCGUAGCACGCUUCAGAGUAUAAUUAUUUAGAUAUUAAUUUUUACAAUGUCUAUAAUAACUAUUCUUAAUUUUAAUAUAAGAUGAACGUUUUACGUUGAAGAUUACUUUUGAGAAAUGCUUACAAAGAUCAUGGAGGGACUGGUCUUGAAAGGAAUUAUUAGGCUGAAAACUAAUGUGUUUUAAUAACAAGCAGUGACAAAUGCCUCCAUAAACUUAUGACUUCUAAUUAAAAAAAUACGGGUAACCUAAACCAGACAGCACAGCUGAGGACCGAAACAAUUGGGCCCAUAUUCAUGCAGAAAAAUUAUGCAUUUAAACAUAAGUCGCAUAUGGAAGAGGUAUUAAAAAAACUAAUGGGAACUAGCUGCGCUACUUAAUAACAAGUGUAGUGGAAUGAAAAGAAUGCUUGUUAGAUUCGUAAAAAUAAAAUUUCAACAUUA